GAACGCUGGCGGAGGCUUACACAUGCAAGUCGAGCGGUAACAGAGAUAGCUUGCUAUCUGCUGACGAGCGGCGGACGGGUGAGUAACGCGUAGGAAACUACCCGGUAGUGGGGGACAACCGUUGGAACCGACGGCUAAUACCGCAUACGCUCUACGGAGGAAAGGGGGCUUCGGCUCUCGCUAUCGGAUGUGCCUGCGUGAGAUUAGCUAGUUGGUGGGGUAAAAGCCUACCAAGGCGACGAUCUCUAGCUGGUCUGAGAGGAUGAUCAGCCACACUGGGACUGAGACACGGCCCAGACUCCUACGGGAGGCAGCAGUGGGGAAUAUUGGACAAUGGGCGCAAGCCUGAUCCAGCCAUGCCGCGUGUGUGAAGAAGGCUUUCGGGUUGUAAAGCACUUUCAUCAGUGAGGAAAGGGUAGUAGUUAAUACCCUGCUAUCUGUGACGUUAACUGAAGAAGAAGCACCGGCUAACUCCGUGCCAGCAGCCGCGGUAAUACG
rnacentral:rRNA from 1 species